rnacentral:rRNA from 1 species
AUUGAACGCUAGCGGGAUGCUUUACACAUGCAAGUCGAACGAGUGGCGGACGGGUGAGUAAUAUAUCGGAACGUGCCCAGUAGCGGGGGAUAACUAGUCGAAAGAGUGGCUAAUAACGCAUACUAUUGGAGCGGCCGAUAUCGGAUUUGCUUGUUGGUGGGGUAAAGGCUCACCAAGGCAACGAUCAUGAGCGGGUUUGAGAGGACGACCCGCCACACGGGGACGGAGAGACGGCCCAGACUCCUACGGGAGGCAGCAGGGGGGAAUUUUCGACAAUGGGGGAAACCCUGAUCCAGCCAUCCCGCGUGUAUGAGAAGGCCUUCGGGUUGUAAAGUACUUUUGGCAGGGAAGCGGUACCUGCAGAAUAAGCACCGGCUAACUACGUGCCAGCAGCCGCGGUAAUUC